rnacentral:rRNA from 1 species
GACGAACGCUGGCGGCGUGCUUAACACAUGCAAGUCGAACGGAAAGGCCCUGCUUGCAGGGUACUCGAGUGGCGAACGGGUGAGUAACACGUGGGUGAUCUGCCCUGCACUUCGGGAUAAGCCUGGUAAACUGGGUCUAAUACCGGAUAGGAGCCAUUUUUAGUGUGAUGGUUGGAAAGUUUUUUCGGUGUAGGAUGAGCUCGCGGCCUAUCAGCUUGUUGGUGGGGUAAUGGCCUACCAAGGCGGCGACGGGUAGCCGGCCUGAGAGGGUGGACGGCCACAUUGGGACUGAGAUACGGCCCAGACUCCUACGGGAGGCAGCAGUGGGGAAUAUUGCACAAUGGGCGCAAGCCUGAUGCAGCGACGCCGCGUGGGGGAUGACGGCCUUCGGGUUGGAAACUCCGUUCGCUAGGGACGAAGCUUUUUGUGACGGUACCUAGAUAAGAAGCACCGGCUAACUACGUG